rnacentral:rRNA from 1 species
AUUGAACGCUGGCGGCAGGCCUAACACAUGCAAGUCGAGCGGAUGAAGGGAGCUUGCUCCUGGAUUCAGCGGCGGACGGGUGAGUAAUGCCUAGGAAUCUGCCUGGUAGUGGGGGAUAACGUCCGGAAACGGGCGCUAAUACCGCAUACGUCCUGAGGGAGAAAGUGGGGGAUCUUCGGACCUCACGCUAUCAGAUGAGCCUAGGUCGGAUUAGCUAGUUGGUGGGGUAAAGGCCUACCAAGGCGACGAUCCGUAACUGGUCUGAGAGGAUGAUCAGUCACACUGGAACUGAGACACGGUCCAGACUCCUACGGGAGGCAGCAGUGGGGAAUAUUGGACAAUGGGCGAAAGCCUGAUCCAGCCAUGCCGCGUGUGUGAAGAAGGUCUUCGGAUUGUAAAGCACUUUAAGUUGGGAGGAAGAGCAGUAAGUUAAUACCUGGCUGUUUUGACGUUACCAACAGAAUAAGCACCGGCUAACUUCGUG